GUGUUCACUUCAGCAGCACAUGUACUAAAAUUGGAAUGAUACAGAGAUUAGCCUGGCCCCUGCUCAAGAAUGACACACAAAUUUGUGAAGUGUUCCCAGGUCAC